GAUGAACGCUGGCGGCGUGCUUAACACAUGCAAGUCGAACGAGAAGUGAAGACGGAAACCUUCGGGCGGAAGGCUUUAUUUCGAGUGGCGGACGGGUGAGUAACGCGUGGGUAACCUGCCUCAUACAGGGGGAUAACAGUUGGAAACGACUGUUAAUACCGCAUAAGACCACAGCACCGCAUGGUGCGGGGGUAAAAACUCCGGUGGUAUGAGAUGGACCCGCGUUCGAUUAGCCAGUUGGCGGGGUAACGGCCCACCAAAGCGACGAUCGAUAGCCGAUCUGAGAGGAUGACCGGCCACAUUGGGACUGAGACACGGCCCAAACUCCUACGGGAGGCAGCAGUGGGGAAUAUUGCACAAUGGGGGAAACCCUGAUGCAGCGACGCCGCGUGAGUGAAGAAGUGUUUCGGUAUGUAAAGCUCUAUCAGCAGGGAAGAAAAUGACGGUACCUGAGGAAGAAGCCCCGGCUAACUACGUG
rnacentral:rRNA from 1 species